rnacentral:lncRNA from 1 species
UACAGAUUAACAAUGAUUCAACAACGUCUCACAGUUCAAGGUAAAUUUUAAAUAUCUGUUCGAAACCGUGUGGGGAGGAACUGCCACGCCUACACCUACAUCACUUCUGUGUACUGUUAUUAUUCGUUUAGCACAGAUUAGGUAAUAAAUCAUGGUGCCCAUUGCUCUCCAAUGCCCAUUGCUCUCUUCGUGCUGCAGUGUUUUUGACCUGUAAUUGUUGGCCCGAGUCUAAUAAAAAGCCUGAAACAAUGGGCUCCAUUUUUUUUAUAAUUUUCGAGCUUGCGCAGUAAAUGAUCGGUCAGCAAUCACGAAUUCCCAGUCUGUAGAACUUUUCCUUAUGAUUCACUGCUUGUAAAUGUGUUUCAAUGAUUUGGUAAGUGUUUUGCGUGUUUAGUGAAAUUUUAAAUUUUAAUUUGAUUUGCAAAUAUCAAGAGCUGAGUGUUCCACUUCACGACAGGAAAUGACCAGGAAAAACCGCUCAGUGUACGUCCAGCUUAAGUGUAGAUCUCCCAGUGCAUGUAACAAUUACAGCUCUAUUCACAAUGACAAUCACUUUCAUAAUAUUCAUACACCGGGAGAAUAUGUUUCCUGGCCUUUUCACAGGAAUCCGAACGCUGAGAACAGCGGUGCUGCGAGCACCGUGAAGAAGAGGAACUUUAGAACUAGCAGGAAACCUCCUGACCAGCCGAGCGACGUCACCAUUAAAGACGCUCAGCAGUUAGAAGAUGGCUGUAGAGUCACAGUUACAGGGAAGAUUGCUAAUCUUAUGCAUGAGGGGACAGCAUACGUCCAUGGAAAUGAUCUCCGGCUACAUGUCUUCGUCUUUGCGGACCACACUGGUUCAGUGCGCUUAACUGUUUGGAUGAACUCGGAGUUGGACUUGAAGGUUGGACAGUUUUACACUUUGAGUAAUAUUGCAGUGAAAAUCUUUAAAUCCAGAAAAUAUCUCAGCACCACACCUGAUACCACAUCAGUAAUUUCACCUCUGAACGGUCGGAACGUUGUACCCGUCCAAACAAAUCGUACUCUUCACCGUGGACCAAUAAUCGCUGCCAGAGUUUCUGUGAAAUAUUACUGUGUUUGUAAGUCCCAGCUGGACAGUUUGUCUGCUGAUGUGGACAAGAUAAAAUGUGAAGAAUGUAAAAAGAGCGUGAGAUCUGAUUCCAUACGCUGUGUCAGGUGGAGUGAGGUCACUGUCGGAACCACAGAAGGCAACAUUAGUUGUGGUCUGAGCGACGGCUUUUUAAAUAAUUUAAUAGCCGUGGAUCGAUAUGGCUGGUGCGACACAGAUCAACUUGAGAGAGAGCUGACCGACAUCAGCCAUGUUUAUGUGGUUAUGGAGGACGGGGACGUUGUCGCUGUCAAUUUGAAAGGCUUUGAAAGGCGGGAAUGUCCAUAUUAAACUGACUACUAUGCGAUGCACAUAAUGUAUUCAAACAGAUAAAUACAUAAACAACUAAAAACACAUGAUUUAUGUAUUACUCAUAGACUACAUAUGUUUCAAAUAAAUUUAAGCCAGUACAUUUAUGUCCCA